GCGGGCGUAGUUCAAUGCUAGAACGCCGUCUUUCCAAGUCGGAAAAAGAGGUUUAAUUCCUUUCACCCGCUCCA
rnacentral:tRNA from 1 species